GCGAGAAUCCUAGAAGAGACCGUUCCUUCCAAGGAGGAGCACCAGCCCGAGGUGCCACCGCUUCCCAAGGUAGAACUGCCACCGUUCCCGGAAGUGCACCUGCCACCUAAGCCUGAACUUCCCAAGGUGGAGCUGCCGCCGCUCCCCAAAGUGCACUUGCCAUCUAAGCCUGAGUUGCCCAAGGUGGAGCUGCCACCUAAGCCGGAGCUGCCCAAGGUGGAGCUGCCAACGUUUCCGGAGGUUCACCUGCCACCCAAGCCGGAGAUGCCCACUGUUCCCGGGUUCCACCUCCCGGAGCCGGAGGCCAAGCCAUGAGAACUGCCUUAUCAAUAUUGUUGCCUUGUUGUACCUCCUCUGCUCCUCGUACAUGUACCUAUUGUCGUGUCGUGUCGAUGAUCUGAUUGUUUAGUUGUGGUUUUCAGUGAGUGUUGUGAGUGAUCUGCUCAUAUGUUGGUAUAUAUGAGAAAUAUAUAUUUUGUUCUCACAAUUACCCUUUUCUCGUAAGAGCGCUUCUUAAGUAUGCAUACUUCCUUACAACAAUUUUCACAGCAAGCUUUGAUAAAACAUAAAAGCCCAAAUAUUUUUUCUUCGACCUCAAGCCGUCCUAGCUUUAACAGCUGAUAUUUACAAACCACACAUUGUUGUUGAGUUUGCUUCAAAAGUACUGAUGCUUGAGAGGUAUGCUUGAGUAAGAGGGUAUCUGAGGGAUGUCCCAAAAUCACACGGUUCUGGGUGCGUGGGCGUGGUAGCUCACUUCCCAAGGUGGAGCUGCCGCCGGUCCUGGAGGUGCACCUGCCACCUAAGCCUGAGCUGCCCAAGGUGGAGUUGCCGCCAGUCCCGGAGGUGCACAUGCCACCUAAGCCGGAGCUGCCCAAGGUGGAGCUGCCAACAUUCCCGGAGGUUCACCUGCCACCCAAGCCGGAGCUGCCGCCGAAACCCAAGAUGCCCACUGUUCCCGGGUUCCACCUCCCUGAGCUAGAGGCCAAUCCAUGAGAACUGCCUCGUCAAUAUUGUUGCCUUGUUGUACCUCCUCAGCUCCUUGUACAUGUACCUAUUUGUCAUGUUGUGUCGAUGAUCUGAUUGUUUAGUUGUGGUUUUCAGUGAGUGUUGUGAGUGGUCUGCUUAUAUAUUGGUAUAUAUAUGAGAAAAUAUGUUGUUCUCACAAUUCUGACAAUUACCCUUUUCUUGUAAGAGCCCUUCGUAAGUAUGCAUGCUUCCUCAUUACAACAAUUUCACAACAAGCUUUGAUUGCGACCCCAAGCCAUCCUAGCUGUAAAUUUUCUCCCGCAUCCGUCAGCGGACACGCGCGCGUGGGUGGGUGGGGGGACCAAUCUGCAGAAACGGAUGCGGGAGGACGCCAUCCAACAGUAGCUGCAUACAUCCGGCCUUCCGGUUUUUUUUCCUAGUCCGCACGAUCAAGUAGCCGCAUGCAAAGGGUACAAACAUUCAAAUAGCCGCAUGGAGCACUAGGUUCAAAUUUUAAAAAGUUCAAAUAUUACAUCUCAACAUUGUUGUCCGCUUUCACCGUCCAUUGAUGCUCAAUCAGAUCUUCCUUCAGCUGCUCGUGAGUUGGUCGAUGCCGAAUUUGUUUAUGCAUUUCAUAAACUCCUCAAAUGUGGCCGGAUUCUGUUCCGGAAGUUGGAUAGGAUCACCCAUAUUCUCAAAUUCCAGAGCUGCGGCAACAUCGUCACCCUCAUCCUCGACGAUCAUGUUGUGCAUGAUCACACAACAUGUCAUCACCUCCCACAAGGUUUCCGGAUCCCAUCAUUUAGCAGGUCCACGAACAACUGCAAAACGGGCCCACAGAACUGUAAAUGCCCUCUCGACAUCCUUUCUAGCUGCUUCUUGUCUUUGGGCAAAGUGAGCAUUUUUCUGGCUAACUAGGUUUGCUGCCAAGGGUAACCCAUGGAGGAUAGAUACUGUCAUGUUGUACUCAUGUCCAUUGACAUUAUAGUGGCAAGGAGGAGCUUUUCCUUCAGUCAACCUCGCAAACAACAACGAUCGUUACAACACAUUGAUGUCAUUGUGAGACCUGGGCAUGCCAAAGAAAGCGUGCCAAAUCCAAAGAUCCUAUGAUGCAACUACUUCAAGAAUGAUGGUGGGCUUCUUAACAUGACCCUGAUAUUGCCCUAGUAAAGCCUUCGGGCAGUUCUUCCAUUUCCAAUGCAUGUAGUCAAGAGAUCUAAGUAAACCUGGCCACCCUCUUGCUUCUGAGAUUGCCACGAGCCUCUCCGUGUCUGCCACAGUUGGUUCUUUCAUGUACUAAGGUCCGUACACCUCAACCACGGCAGUUGCAAACCUGACCAUGGCAUCUCUGCAUGUGCUCUCAGACAUCCGUAGGUACUCGUCCCACGAAUCAGCGGCUGUGCCAUAUGAAAGCAUCUGGAGUGCGCUCGUGCACUUCUGGUAACCAGAGAAGCCAAUCGUUCCCAAGACGUCCUUCUUAAGGAUUAAGUAGUCAUCAUAGGACCGGACGCCAUGAUACAAAUGAUCGAAGAUAGUCUUGCGCAUUCGAAAACGCCGACGAAAAUGGUCAGCAGAUAGUGCAUCUGGGGAAAAGUAGUUGGCCAUCAGUGGCAAAUGCCCGCGCGCCCUGUUGUGGUUGAGCACUCGAUGGCCCUUGAUCGAGCCAUUGAAAUUGAGAACAUACUUCUCCGCACGCUCCGCGUCUUCAAGGACCGCCUGCAUCAUCGCCGUCUCAUCGGAGUACUCCUCCUCGUCCGACGAGCCGUCAGACGACUCAACAUACUGCUCGUAUACGUACUGCAAAUCAGAAUCCAUUGCUAAAAAGAAGAAGGGACAUCUGUUUUAAGCUCCGGCGGUUCAUUGAACAAUUGACGGCCAUGGUAGAGGAUGACACCUGGCUGGGCGGUGGAGGAGAAGCGGCGGGGAGCCCUGCUGGAGCGCCGGAGGUUAGGGAGACGCAGAUUUUCGGCAGGGGUGUGGCAUGGUGGCCGGGGUGGCGGAGCGACGGUGAUGGCAAGAGAGAAAGAAGAAAUAAGAGAAAAUGAGGAGGAUGGAGUCGCGGGGUCCGGGAAGGGUUUUGGGUGGGCCUGGGGUGUCGGAUUUGUACGUUUGGCGUGUCCGGACUUCCGCAAAGUCCCCCCACUUUUGUCUCUGUUUUGCGGGAGAAAUAGCGCCCGAACCGCCCGGCAGACUGAUACAGGACCGCAUUGGAUGGCUUCGGCGGUCCGGAUAGCGCGGUCCGAACGAUUGCGGGAGGUUUACGAGUCCGCUUUGGAGAUGCCCUAACCCCCGAUAUUUACAACCACACACAUUGUUCUUGAGUUUGCGUCAAUAGUCUUAAUGCGGAUGAGCAAGAGGGUGCCUCAAGGGUGUCACCAAAAUCACACUGUUCUUGGGUGCAUGGGCGUGGUAGCUCACCUCCAUGUUGUAUGGGUGCUUGGUCUCUCCUUCUGUAUUUUUUUUCUUUGACUUGGUCCUUCUUUUAACUCCAAUGUCGCAUCCUUGAAAGGAAGGGGCCAACUGGUGAUUAGUACUCCCUCCGUUCGAGAAAUCUUAUUCCAAGUUUGUCCCUCAAAUAAAUGUAUCUAGCAUUAAUUUGGAGCUAGAUACAUUCAUUGAAAAGACAACUUUUUCGAACGGAGGAAGUAUAUGACUAGCAUAUGCAGCGAAUGGAAAACUAAAAGAAAGAAGCAUCCAGUGAAUGGAGGUGGCAAUGAUUUGGGUGUCAAGUGUUAACACAAACGCCGCUGGUGAGGACUGCAGGGCCACCUUUUUGUUACCUUACUCUGUUUUUUUUUCUAAGAUCCAGCAAAUUGCUGGCUUCAAUUAGAUUUAGCAGAAAGCAGCGGAAGAACAAUAUGGGGAGGAUCCGAAGAUCAAAGAAAAAGAAAAAUGGCAACCCCAUUGGCUGCAGAACAACAUUACACUUACAAGGCGAAACGCCAUCCACCCACAGCGAGACUACACAGCUCCGACUCUGGCGAAGGACUAUGGAGAAACAAAGCAAGGUUGGCAUCGCAGAAGAUCAUCAAACGGACCACCUGUCACCCGUCAUCGUACACCACCGGUGCCUCGCCCCGCAGCUUCGAUUUCACAGCAACAAGCAGCCGAGGUAAUCUUAUGGACACGUUGGAGAAGAGCCGACUACCAUGACCAAUGCCACGCCUCCGACGAUGCUCACCACCGUCAUCGUCGCCACAGAAGCCAAACCGCCCUCAUUGCCGGACGGACACAACCAAGCAGCACGAACGACAUCCCUAUCUACCACUGGUCCCUUUGGCCGGUAAGAAGCUCCUAGAACGAUGCCCAAGAGGUGCGACACACGUCGCCAUCAUCGUCCGAUCCCACGGGAUCAUGGGUUUCCCCCGAGCAUCCUUGCAUAGUGGAGCGAGCAGGAACGCCUCAGCGACGCCUUCAAGAAGGAAGCGGCGCCCGCAGACACCGUCGUCGCCUGCCCCGGCCCAAAAACCGGCAGCAAGGUCUUCACCCGGCACUGCACCUCCAACCACCAACCCGAGCCAGACCACCACCACAGGAGCCAGAUCCAACAUGACUGGUCAGAUCCGGCACCCAGUGCAUCAGCUGCAACCACCCUUGCUCGCACCAUCGGCCAUGUACCGCCGUCCACACGGUCAGCAAGCCGCCCAGCACCACCUCGCCCUGGAGCCGCUGCCUCGGCGACCUCCCACUUGCAGAUCCACGAGCACAAUGCAGACUCCCUGACAACUCCUGCCUCCACCAAACACCACCAGCACACCCACUCCCGCUGCCUCACUCGCCGGGACCAGGAUCUCGCCCGAGAAUCAGCAGGGUGCCUCCAGUGAGCACCCUGGCUGGCACCACCGGCGCUGGGCCCGCUAGGACCGUGCCCCCAUGGCCGGGGAGAGCAGAGGAGCCAUCCCGACCAGAGGAGGACGUGGCCCGAAGGCCCAGAUCCAGUCCCCCCAAACGCUGAUGUGCAGCCACCACCGAGCGCCGGCCAGGGGCGGCUCUGCCGCCAAGAGGGACGCCGCCCCUCGAGCAGCACGCGCCGGCCACCCACCGCCGGCCGGACACACGCCACCAGUACCCCGAGCGCCGCCAGAUGCGCGACCAAGGGUCGCCGACUGCAGAAACCGCCCCGCCGCCGCCUUCCCUAGGGCACGCACGGGCUUCGCCGGCGUCCCCUCCGGUGGCGGCGCAACGAGGGAGGAGAGGCGGGGUAGCCUGGCGGCGCGGCUAGGGUUGCCCCAAUUUGUUCCAAAUUCAAAAGCCAAGUAAUAAGACAACAACAAUCAAACCAACGUUACCGAGUGCUCAACUCUUAAGUUCCACACCGCAGAGCGAACACAUAGCUAGUUAAGCGAUUAAGCAGGGUUUGUAGCUAAAGUAACUAUCUUAAUAAUACUUUAGAGACAAAUAGACAACUACCAACUUCAGGACCUUGGUAAGUAGACAAGUUUAGAGACCCAAAAGGGCAUUUGAACCAGACAUUGAACUCAAAUUUUUAUUUAAUUUUCAUUGUCUCUACUAAUUGUAUCCGAUUUGGAAAAAAUUUGACAAACGGACGCGCGCGUGUUAUUCUUAUAGCAUAACCUCUCGGGUGCCGCCAGUCGUCAAGCUCGGAUGUGGGAGGAGUCGAGUUGGCAGCAGCUAGCAAUGGCAAUUGCUGAUGUACAAACUUGCCUGUGUUCUUCUACGAUCUGAUGGUCCCUUGGACAAGGCGUUCAGUCUUAGCAGCUGGCCUAACAAUUGCGUGUUUAUCCUCAACAUCAGCCGCAAAAGCCGAAGGAACUCUCUAAUCUCUCUUCACCCAAUUCGUAAGCAGGUAGCCAGUCCGAGACUAAAAAUUAAAGAGCACACAUAAAACCAUGAGCUGCAGGCGAGUAGGUGAACGGCCUCGUUUCAAAGCACUAGAUCCAAGACACUCGAUCGUUUUUUUAACUUUAUAAAUAGAACGCAGCACCUGGGGAAAUACCCUUUGGCUCUCGCAUGUAUAUACACACUAUAUGGGGUAUUUUAAUAAAUAAUUAAAUAAAAUGUCAAAAUAGUUCAAAACUAUAGGUUAAACUUGACUUACUUGCGCACUAGUAUAUAAAUUUUCACAAAAUAAAAACCAAUGUUGACUUCACAGCAAAAAAGACAGAAUUUAUUUGCUAUUGUAGGUCACUAUUCAUGCUAUUUUGAUCAAAAAUUUGUCUUUUUUGAAAAAAAGUCAAAGAGGAAUUUUUCUUUUGUGAAACUUUUUUCACUAGUAUAAUGGAAGGUCAAGUUUAUUUCAAAAAUAUUUUUAGAAUAAUUUGACUAUUUAUUGAAUUGCUAAUUUUUUUCCAUAUAUGGUAGGAACCAAACGUUCCCCUCCGCAGCACCUGCUAUCUCUCCCACAUCAAAACUACACCACAAGAGCUAGCACAACCAUUUUCACGAAAAGACGGCCCUAGAGCCGCAUUUCAUUGAUUAAUCAGGAGAGGAACAAAUACAAAGACUUUAGAGUUAGAGACUAGGUGAAAAGCCUGAAGCUGGCAUCCAGAAAAAUACAGCGAGCAGCAUUCAAGGAGGCUCAGAAAAUCUGUCAACCAGGGUAAGCCCGGCAGCCGACUAGCAUCGCGCUUCAUCCAUGAUACGUCCCAUGAGUUGUGGAACGGAGCACCUGUCGCCACUGAAAACACGGUUGUUGCGUUCUUUCCAUAUCAUCCAGGAGAUCAAGCAGAUGGCUGCCUUCCAAACUUUUUUCUCAUCCACCGGGAGCGACUGGAGCUGUGUCAUCCAGUUGGUCUUCAGAGAUAAGCAUUGAACGCUCGAGCUCACCGCUGUCGUCAGGUUUAGGAAUGGGCCGGCUAGCUUAUUGAUAGCCACCGUCCACAACUGUUUGGUGAAGCUGCAGUCCACGAGCAGAUGGUUAGCAGUCUCCGGUGCAGCGCAGCAGAGUGAGCAGACCGGGUUAUAUGGUAUGCCCCGGAUAGCCAGAUUGUCAGCCGUUAGACAUCGUCCGUGAGCAGCAAGCCAGAGGAACGUCUUGGCUCGAGGUGCCGCUUUGGCGGACCAGAUGAGCGCCUUGUCGUCGGAUUGCAGAGCACCUUCAAACUGGCAUAGGUACGCCGACUUGGCAGAGUAGUUUCCAUCAGCCGUCCAACGCCAAGUCACGGUGUCUACCACCGAGUCGCUGAAGCUUAUAGCCGCCGCCAUCUCCGAUAAGCAGCAAAGUUGUCUGAGCACCAGUGCAGAGGGGUUGGGCUUGACCAGGCGCAUCCAAAGAUUGUCUGUGAUAGCCUCACGCAGCGAUAGGCGGCGCUUGGUACAGUGUUGCAACAGCUCGGGCCAUCGGUCAAUUGGGCGCAGACCCUCUGCCCAGUGCAAAUCCCAGAAAGGGGUGGACCUGUCUUUUCCAAGAAGAUGGUUGCUCAAUUAAUAGAUAAGCGCUUGAUAUCACACAAAUGACUCAUGGAAAAUCCACACUAAACAAUCCCAUGAUAGGAGCACGAGCAAAGAGAAGACAAGUGAAGACGGUCUUCAUGGCUUAGCCUCCGGUUCCGUGAAGUGGAACUCCGGGAUGGUGGGCAUCUCUGGCUUCGGUGGCAGCAGCUCCGGCUUGGCUGGAAGGUGCACCUCCGGAAAUGUUGGCAGCUCGGGCUUGGGUGGCAGGUGCACCUCAGGGAACGCGAGCAGCUCUACCUUGAGCAACUCGGGCUUAGGUGGCGGGUGCACCUCCGGGAAUGGCGGCAGCCCGACCUUGGGCAGCGUUGGCAGCUCGGGCAGGUGCUCCUCGCCUUUGGAAGGAGUUGUCUCCUCCUCCAGAAUUCUUGCCGCGCCGCUCAUGGCGACGCACGAGAGCAGCAGUCUGACGAGGAAUACAGCGGUGUUUCUUAAAGCCAUUUUGAUGGACGACCUCGUUUCAAAUCCAUUGAUGUAUACAUAUAAUAGUGUUGAUUGCACACUUUUCCUUUUAACUUAAAAUAUUUGAAAAGCACGCUCAUGCAUGAUUCAUCCUUAUCAAUAAUUUCAAUUGGAAGUUUUUGCCCGAUAAACCACGAAAUCCAAACUCUGGCACGCAAUAUUUAGGACACAUGCAUUGUCCUUUGAGUUUGGCAUUGUUAGGCCCAAAUACUUUGUGAAUAAAGUAUGGUUUGGUUACCGUUCAGAAAUUCGGGCACCGUUCUGAAAUUCCUAGCAGUGAUAUGAACAACCUUCACGGGCAUGAAGGUAUUAAUGGGAGAUAGGUGGUAGAAAAUUCUUGGAAACCUGCCGGUUCAAGGGCUCAGACAUUGCUCAUAUUUGAUGAAUUCUCCCAGCUCGUCCGCCGCGUGAAGGAUGAGCCGCCGUCGCCCCCGCCGCACAGCCGCUACACGCAGAUUGACCGGCCGUCCUCGCCACCACGACGCCAUCGCCGCCUGAUAAAGGAGUCGUCGCCCGCGAUCGCGACGGUGCAUGACCGCAUCCUCCACUACCUCAAAGGAGGCGGAUAUGGCCGUGCCUCAGGCUCGAGGGCCGUCGUGUCCGAGGCGGAGCGCGCGGCGAGGUACGACCGGCGCAAUGCCGAUCGCCGCUCCGCGUUCGCCAAGAGCGAUGUCGCACCGGAAUGGGCCCGCAACAACCCCGACCUUGCAGCCGCGUGGGCGCUCGACCGCUCCGUCAUCACCGCGUAGACGACCGCCAAGCGCCGCCGCCACCUUGACGGCGAGCUCGCCAAGAUCGGCGAGUGGUCGCUUAGCGGCUGGUCCGCCAACGCCGGCAGGGGCAAGGUAACCGCCAGGGCCCCGCCGGCCCGUCGGCAGUGGCCAAGGCGGCCCUCCGCACCGCGCAAUAGGAGGCGGAGCUGUCGGACAAGGCUGCCGUAGCCCCCAGCAUCCUUGCGCCGCUGGAGGGACGACGACGACAGCACGGACGGCGACGACGAUGCAUCAGGACAGGCCGGCGACACUUACGAGGUGGUCGUCCGAUAUAUGAUUUUUUUAUAGUUUUUAGGAAAAUAGUCGCAAAAUCGUCUGUUUAUGUAAGUUAUAUCCAAACUUGAAUGAAUUCUGUUCGGUUUGCAUGAAUUUCGUCCGGUUAGUUUGAACCGUUGUUGAAAUGUAUGCGCGCAGCGUUGGAUGACGGCCUCCGGCAUCACUGUCUAAGGAGGGACCGGUCCUCCUUUGUCCGCGGACAGAUGUCGGAUCAAUUUUUUUCCUGAGCGGAAAUGCUGAAGCAAAUUUAGGGUUCAGCGUUGAAGAUGCCCUCAUCUCUCGAAACUCUGGAAAACCAACAUAUAAUAACAAUGUUGUGAUUCAUAUUCCGAGUUAAUUGAUAGCCUGUUAAACUCCAGGCUGGUUCUGCUUCGGCAAAAUAUGUUUGUUGACUUUUGCAUUGUUUGUUUUGUCGAACCCUUGGGCACAACGUUUCGUCUUCACGGGCAUUGUUAGGCCCAAAUAAGUGUGUCGACAACUAAUUCUGAGGCUCUGUUUGUGAAAGAGAUCUAUGACUUGCUUGCUAGUUUGGAAGUGGCUAGCCCCGGAUCUGGUAAGGUGAUUGCUUGCAUCCUGACGAACAAGGCUACAACGGCCAAAAUCGAGAAGGUGGAAAAAGCUCUUAGGAGCAUAGGCAAGAAGUGUGGCGCCAUAGGAAAGGCGUCCGCCGCUGCUUAAAUGGAUGAUCUCAAAUGUCUUCGACUGUCCCCAUGGUGGUGUCCGUUGUCUUCAGUCGAGGUGUUCCUGUUGGGUGUUCCAUUGUGUUUUAUAAGUGCAAGGGUUUGUUGUUGUGCGUUGGUUAUGUCUAUUGGAUCGAUCGUGCGGUUAUGGUGUUCCAUACUUUGUGAGUAGUUCGCAUGUGGUGUAUUUGUAUUGGUUUUCGCCCGGUUUUUCAUAAUUAACUGGGCAAUUCUCUUCUUCUUAAUUAAUCGAUGAGGCAAAACUUUUGCCUCCGUUUCAAAAAAAAAAAACGUUUCGUCUUCACAGCUGACCUAACAUUGUUGAUGUUUUGAACGGUCGUACCUGCCCUGCACGCAGCUUCACGGCGUCCACAACUGCAGCCCAAACAACCAGAGUGCUAUUUCCUGUCCCUCACCCAAAAUCUUGUGCAGAAAUGGACUCAGAAACACGUACAUUGGACAAAAGUGCAGACAAGUAGAUGAACAAACUUGUUGCAAAAUCUGUACUCUCUCCCCACGCGGCCUUUUGCACCAUAUAAGUAGUCAGCAGCCCCAGCUAUCUCUCCCACACUCAAACUGCACUGCCAGAGCUAGCCGGUGCUGCACAUGUCUAACACUAUGGCUCCGAAAAACUCAGCUGUCUUCCUCCUUGGGCUUCUUCUCUCAUGCGUAGCCAUGAGUAGUGCGGUGAGAAUCCUUGAGGAGACCAUUCCGUCCAAGAAAGAGCACCAGACCGAGGCGCCACAAAUUCCCAAGGUAGAGCUUCCACCGUUUCCGGAAGUGCACCUGCCACCUAAGCCUGAGCUUCCCGAGGUGAAGCUGCCACAGGUCCUGGAGGUGCACUUCCCACCUAAGCUUGAGCUUCCCAAGGUGGAGCUGCCGAUAGUCCCUGAGGUGCACUUGUCACCCAAGUCGGAGCUGCCCAAGGUGAGCUGCCAACAAUCCCGGAGGUUCACCUGCCACCCAAGCCGGAGAUGCCUAAGGUGGAGCUGCCACCCAAGCUCGAGAUGCCCAAGGUUCAGCGCAAGAUUUGUUUGCCCCUAUCAUUUUCCCAUUACCCAAAAAGGGUUUCCCCCGUUUUGUAUUACAAAGCAACCAACACUGAUAACAUCG
rnacentral:lncRNA from 1 species